rnacentral:rRNA from 1 species
AUGGAGUACUACACCUCGAGUCCCCUUUUCAUGCCUUUGGUCAAGCUAGUGGGCGAGUACCUGGGCAGCGAGGACUGGAUGCAUCAGCUCUUCCACCGCACCUACUUGCCUGCCCACUACGCCCUCCCCGACCCGCCCGUCUCCGCCGCCGCUUGCCUCUCCGCCCUUCCCCCCCACGACGACGUCGACCGCGUCAGCCGCCUCCCCGACGCGCUCCUGCACAACAUCGUCUCCCGCCUCCCCGUAAAGGACGCCGCCCGCACCUCCGCGCUCUCCCGCCGCUGGCGCGGGGUCUGGCGCUCCGCCCCGCUCGUCCUCGUCGACGCCCACCUCUUCCCCGCCACCUCCGCCGUCUCCAGCGUCCUCGCCGCGCACCCGGGCCCCUUCCGAUGCGUCCACCUCAACGACUGCUACAUGGACGAGUUCCCUGCUCUGCUCACGGGCUGGCUCCAGAUCCUGGCCGACAAGGGCAUCCAGGAACUCGUCCUCGUCAACCGCCGGUGGCCACUCGACGUCACUCUCCCCGACACUUUCUUAGGCAUGGCCACCCUCACCCGCCUCUACCUCGGCCCCUGGAAGUUCCCCGACACGGCCGGCCUCCCAAGCGCCACCUGCUUCGGCAACCUCCGUGAGCUCGGGCUCUGCAACGUCAUCAUGGAGAGCGGGGAUUUGGACUUCGUCCUCGACAGGAGCCCCGUGCUGGAGACGCUCUGUCUCGAAGGGAAUCUCUUCAGGCUCUGCCUCCGCCUUGUCAGCCAGAGCCUCCGGUGCGUGCAGAUCAUCGGGUGCUUCCUUGAAGAAAUCUUCGUGGUGGACGCCCCACGCCUUGAGCGGCUCAUCCAGUCCGAAGGUUGUACCCCUAAUGGCACCUGCACCAAGGUGAAGAUUGGGCAUGCCCCCAAGCUGCACUUGUUGGGAUACUUGGAGCUGGACCAGAGGCACAUCCUAGAGGUCGGCAACACCAUCAUCAAGUUGCAGGCUGGGACAGGGGUGAGCCCGAGCACUAUGGUGCCAAGUGUGGGAAUCCUGGCUUUGGAGGUGCGUUUCGAAGUCCGCAAUGAUGCCAAGAUGGCUCCCGGUGUCCUCAAAUGCUUUCCGAAUGUUGAGACGCUCCACAUCAAGUCUGGAAAAAAUGACCAAUCCACUGGCAAGCUGAACCUAAAGUCCUGGCACGAAUCUGGCACCAUAGAAUGCAUCCGGUCACGCAUCAAGCUGCUGUUUUUCCACGAUUUCCGAGGGGGCCGCGGUGAGCUCGCCUUCCUCAAAUUCUUCUUUGAGAGCGCAUUGGUGCUGCAGGAGGCGGUGAUUGUGUUUGCCGCUGCCCCCAGUUCGAUGGAAGAGGUUCAAUCCAAAUUGGAUAUUCUUGGGUCCAUGAAACGGGCUAGUGAAACCUCCAUAGUGCUGCUCACUACACGUUCUGAUCCUCAAGGAGGUUACGUUUGGAGCUUCAAAAUAGGGUCUGGUUUUUCUCCUGCCGACCCUUUUGAAAACUACUGA